rnacentral:rRNA from 1 species
AUUGAACGCUGGCGGCAGGCUUAACACAUGCAAGUCGAACGAGUGGCGGACGGGUGAGUAAUGCUUGGGAAUCUAGCUUAUGGAGGGGGAUAACUACGGGAACGUGUAGCUAAUCCCGCGUACCAUAGGAUGAGGCCAAGUGGGCUUAGGUAGUUGGUGAGGUAAAGGCUCACCAAGCCGACGAUCUCUAGCUGGUCUGAGAGGAUGACCAGCCAAACUGGGACUGAGACACGGCCAAGACGCCUCCGGGAGGCAGCAGUGGGGAAUAUUGCACAAGGUGCGCAAGCCGGAUGCAGCCAUGCCGCGGGUAUGAAGAGGGCCUUCGGGUUGUAAAGUACUUUCAGUCGGGAGGCGUUACCGACAGAAGAAGCACCGGCUAACUCCGUGCCAGCAGCCGCGGUAAUUC